UCAGCUGUUGUGGCGAAUCCUACGCUCUGUCUUGGCUGGGUUUCUCCAUGGCCACGCGUUUGCGUUUUGUGCAGAAAACCGUAGCGCCACCUAUUGCGGUGGCGUU
rnacentral:lncRNA from 1 species